GAUGAACGCUGGCGGCGUGCCUAAUACAUGCAAGUCGAGCGAACGGACGAGAAGCUUGCUUCUCUGAUGUUAGCGGCGGACGGGUGAGUAACACGUGGAUAACCUACCUAUAAGACUGGGAUAACUUCGGGAAACCGGAGAUAAUACUGGAUGAUAUUUUGAACCGCAUGGUUCAAAAGUGAAAGACGGUCUUGCUGUCACUUAUAGAUGGAUCCGCGCUGCAUUAGCUAGUUGGUAAGGUAACGGCUUACCAAGGCAACGAUGCAUAGCCGACCUGAGAGGAUGAUCGGCCACACUGGAACUGAGACACGGUCCAGACUCCUACGGGAGGCAGCAGUAGGGAAUCUUCCGCAAUGGGCGAAAGCCUGACGGAGCAACGCCGCGUGAGUGAUGAAGGUCUUCGGAUCGUAAAACUCUGUUAUUAGGGAAGAACAUAUGUGUAAGUAACUGUGCACAUCUUGACGGUACCUAAUCAGAAAGCCACGGCUAACUACGUG
rnacentral:rRNA from 1 species